UACGGAGGGAACUAGCGUUGUUCGGAAUUACUGGGCGUAAAGCGCGCGUAGGCGGCUUUGUAAGUAGGGGGUGAAAUCCCAGGGCUCAACCCUGGAACUGCCUCCUAAACUGCAGAGCUAGAAUCCUGGAGAGGUGAGUAGAAUUCCUAGUGUAGAGGUGAAAUUCGUAGAUAUUAGGAAGAAUACCAGUGGCGAAGGCG
rnacentral:rRNA from 1 species